rnacentral:misc_RNA from 1 species
AAGUCGUAACAAGGUUUCCGUAGGUGAACCUGCGGAAGGAUCAUUAUUGAAUGAACUUGGCUUGGUUGCUGCUGGUCUUUUCGAAGACAUGUGCACGCCAUGUCAUCUUUAUAUCUCCACCUGUGCACCUUUUGUAGACCUGGAUUCCAUUUUCCGAGGUAACUCGGUCGUGAGGAACUGCUUAACGGCUUUCCUUGUUAGUUUUCCAGGCCUAUGUUUUCAUAUACACCAUACGAAUGUAACAGAAUGUCAUUAUUAGGCUUAAUUGUCUUAUAAACUAUAUACAA